UCUACCUUCCUUCCCUGCUAGGUGUUUUGCCUGUGUAUAUGUCUGCGCACCACUUGAGUGGUUGGUGCUGGCGGAGACCAAAAGAGGCCAUGGAGCCAGAAGAGAGCAUGGAUCCCCUAGAACUGGAAUUACAGACGGUUGUGGUUUGCCAAGUGGGUGCUGGGAAUGCAACCCAAGCCCUUUGGAAAAAUAACCAGUUCUCUGAACCACUGAGCAAUCUCUCCAGCCCCUCUUUAUUUUAUAAUUACAUGUCUGUGUCUGUGUCUGUGUCUGUGUCUGCUUGUGGGUAUGUGCAGAUGAGUGCAGUUGCCUCAGAGGUCAGAAAAGGGCACUGGAUCCUCUGGUGCUGGUGUUACACGCAGUUGUCAGCCCCUGCCAUGGGUGCUAGGAAGCAAACUCAGAUCUUCAGCAAGAACAAGUGUUAACCACUGGGCCAACUCUUCAGCCUCUCCUAGACAUUUUUAAUAGAAUUGCAGGACCAAUGGAUAUAAGUAUCAUUCCCCAUGGUUAUUACUUUACUGAUGGGUUCUAAUGAGAACAAUAUUGUUAAUCUUCUUCUUUGUAGUGAGAAUAUUUCUUACUCUUUUUAUGUCUGUGUAUGUGUUUUGAGACAGGGUCUCUCUAUGAAUCCUUGCUGUUCCGGAGUUUACUAUGCAGGUUAGCCUUAAGGUCACAGAACUACUCCUGCCUCAGCUUCCCAAGUGCUGAAAUUAAAGGCAUACACCACCAUACCUGGCUUUA
rnacentral:lncRNA from 1 species